CUAAGAAUUAGAAUACUAAUAUAAAAUGACCCAUUAUUUGAUCAAUGAACCAAGUUACCCUAGGGAUAACAGCGCAAUCCAUUUCAAGAGCUCCUAUCGACAAGUGGGUUUACGACCUCGAUGUUGGAUCAGGGUAUCCUAGUGGUGCAGCAGCUACUAA
rnacentral:rRNA from 1 species